rnacentral:rRNA from 1 species
AUUGAACGCUGGCGGCAUGCCUUACACAUGCAAGUCGAACGGUAACAGGUCUUCGGAUGCUGACGAGUGGCGAACGGGUGAGUAAUGCAUCGGAACGUGCCCAGUAGUGGGGGAUAGCCCGGCGAAAGCCGGAUUAAUACCGCAUACGACCUGAGGGGGAAAGGGGGGGAUCGCAAGACCUCUCGCUAUUGGAGCGGCCGAUGUCAGAUUAGCUAGUUGGUGGGGUAAGGGCCUACCAGGGCAACGAUCUGUAGUUGGUCUGAGAGGACGACCGGCCAAACUGGGACUGGGAACCGGCCCAGACUCCUACGGGAGGCAGAAGUGGGAAAUUUUGGACAAUGGGCGCAAGCCUGUUCCAGAAAUGCCGCGUGCAGAAAGAAGGCCUUCGGGUUGUAACCUGCUUUUGUAAGGGAAGAAAUCUUCUGGGCUAUACCCUGGGAGGAUGACGGUACCUGAAGAAUAAGCACCGGCUAACUACGUGCCAGCCGCCGCCGUAACAC